UGCCAGCAGCCGCGGUAAUACGUAUGUCGCAAGCGUUAUCCGGAAUUAUUGGGCGUAAAGCGAGUCUAGGCGGCUUGUUAAGUCAGAUGUGAAAAUGCGGGGCUCAACUGUAGCAUUGCCUUUGAUACUGCCAGACUUGAGUUAUUGUGAAGUAGUUAGAAUGCGUGGUGUAGCGGUGAAAUGCAUAGAUAUCACACAGAAUACCGAUUGCGAAGGCAGAUCACUAACAAUAUACUGACGCUCAUGGACGAAAGCGUGGGGAGCGAACAGGAUUAGAUA
rnacentral:rRNA from 1 species